rnacentral:rRNA from 1 species
UACGGAGGGUGCAAGCGUUAAUCGGAAUUACUGGGCGUAAAGCGCACGCAGGUGGCUGAGUCAGUCGAUUGUGAAAGCCCUGGGCUUAACCUGGGAAUUGCAGUCGAUACUACUUAGCUAGAGUAUGGGAGAGGGCAGUGGAAUUCCCGGUGUAGCGGUGAAAUGCGUAGAUAUCAGGAGGAACACCGGUGGCGAAGGCGGCUACCUGGACAGAAACUGACGCUGAGGCACGAAAGCUAGGGGAGCAAACAGG